AUACCACCUCCUUCACUAUUUUCAUAAUUGUAGUGGUGACAAGUAUUUCUAAUGAUUUCAUGUUAGAUUUCAGGGAAUAAAGGCAGAGAGUAACAACACUUGGAGUUUUUAAACCUUUAACACUUUACUAACACUUUGUUAGUUAUAAUUAAAAACCUAAUAUUAUGUUUUAGCGUAAAUAUUUUGGUAUCAGCACCAAAGCAAUGAGCAGAGUACCGUGCAAUGGUGCACUUGUGGUUAUCUCAGCACAAAGCUGCAUAUGUCAUAGGAGCUGAAUGAAAGCUACCAAACCAGUGGAGAGCUCCCCUGGUCUUCAGUGGCUUUGGAGCUGGUCUUUGAGAUUCAGCUCGUGAGUGUUGUGGUCUUCUUGCAGUAUUUUUUUUUCCCCUGAAAUUUGCAGUCCAUGUUCACGCAGUCUAGUUUAAUUGGUGCUAAGAGAAGUAGAAGAUCUAUGGCAACGUAUACAAGCGCAGAAUCAGAUUUAAUAUGAAGGUCUUCAGCAUUAGCAGCCCCAGUGAGGCAGAUGAGGUUGUAGUAACGGAUUUACAACAGUUUACUUUUGGCUUGGCUAAAGUGGACUUGAACUCCAGCAGCUCGGCAUUUUGUGUAAGGACGGUGGUUUUAUUCUUUCAUUGUAUUGUAGCUGUGUAUUAUUAUAUAUUUCCAACUGACAGAAGCCUUAUGUAGUAUUUUGAAGGCCUUGUAAUGAUUUUCUAUUCACGUUAAACUGGAAUCAAGUUUGAAUAACAAUCCUUUUGGUUGGUCAUGAGUAGUGACUCCACAUAAAGCACUUAGCGUAUAGUGGACUAUAUCCUCCUUCAUCCCAUUUAUUGUCCCUCCGGUUACUUAAUAAAUGCUCUAUAUUUAGCUGAUUAGGCACUCUGAUGAUUAUUUUUGCUGUAAUAAGUACUUUAUGCUACCGUAGUUUAUCAUCAAAUCAGUUUAAAGGUAAAGGGUUUUCUUGUUAAGCUGUUCUUCAGUUCUUGUCCCCAAACAGUUACGGUGUCACUUUCUCCGCUAUUGAUCCAGCAAUUACUUAAGACUGGCAACAAUCCCGUAAGCCUUGAAUUGCCAUGUGUAUAAAUUAAUUAUAUACACGUAACCGACUGUGUUUCGUAUGUUCCAGAUGUGACGCAUGCAGUGGUUGAAAAAGGCGGACAGUCUUUACCUUCUGUGACGACGCGUACCUUUCAGCUCUCCUAAGGGGUAGUCUCGUAUCUGGGUUUGAACUAGGGAGAGCGAGCCACAGUUCAGGAUGUCUGCCAGUCACUCCCGCGGGUAGGUGGCGGCUGGGAGUUUGCAAGAAGUAAAUUUCUGCAGACAGAAGGUUACAAAUGCAUAACUAACGACACCGUAAUUGUUCCUGAAGAAAAUGUCAGUGUCCAUUCCCUUGACACCAUGUGUGACAGGGAGUGAGAUAAUGACUUGAUGUGUCGGAGGAAUUUCAUCACAGUAGUUGCUUCAUUCUUUCAAAAAAAUGUGAGAAACCUCCUAGGAAUCAGUCAAACUCGGGCUGCUGUGGAUUGAUUUAAGUGGAUUAGCUCAGCUGUUUCCUAUGCAGUUCCUGAAAUGUGCUAAUCAGCAUUAAUAAAAAAUAGUGGCCCUCGCUCCUCAAAUUGUCUUGUAGUUACUGCCAGAGCUAGGGAGGGCUGGUUUGUAUCCAGGCAGCAUCCCGCUGGCUUCUGCGGCUUCUGUUUCCAGUGAAACCAGAACUGAGCUCCUGUGUUACCUCACGGAAGGUGCUUGACCUCCAGCUCAAGACAAGGAAGCAGAAGAGGAAUCUGUAUCUUUUCAGCAUUCCUCUGAGAAAGCUCUUAUUUUACCCACUGACAAAAACCUCGUCUGUGCGGAAAGGAGACUUGCUGGGUGACCACAGCAGCAACUAAGGCAAGGGAGGCAGGUUCUUGCACCAGUGCAAAACCCGGGAUAGUAUAUUUUAUGUUCCCUUUAGACUGGAGUAAAUGUCUACUCAAGAUCCCAGGCAAGUAAAUCAGUUCAGUGCUAAUGAACCACAGCUGAAGCAAUGUCGAAGGAAAAAAAUAGCUUCCCUGGUAGACAAGACUAUCGAUUUUUACAGAAAACAUUCGCAUGGUACCAGAUACUUCAACACUUUUUUGCGGGAGAAACUGAUUUUGACAUUAGUCACAGCGGAUUUUUUUUUUAAUUUUAUUUAAACAAAACAGAUUGUAGAUUAAGAUACUGGCUGCAUUUGGCAAAUGCCGCUCUACGGGGAAGGGAUGAUUGUGGGCGAAGCAGAGCAAGGAGCGAGCGUCUGGGAGUUCAGUGCUGACAUUGCUGCUAACUUCCUCUUAGGCUUAAGCAAAUCAUGCAGGUCACUCGUAAUUCAGUUUCCCUUUAUCCCAUGCCGAAAUGAUGUAACGGGGUGUUGGGAAACCCAGAGCUGAAAUGUAUAAAAGUCUCCAAGAGCAUGUAUAGCUGGAUCUGUUAGAGCAUAAGUGUCUUUGCGGGAGGUUUUUGGAGAAUCGUCUUCUCUUCUGCACCAUGAUGUAAGGAAAGGAGAACAGCAACACCUGACAGGGUAAUUGUGUUAUUUGCUUUUUCCUCGCUAGCUUUGGUUCAUCUAAUCCAAAGUUUCCUGAGUUGUAGCUGAGGAGGGAUGUUCUGGUUGUCCCUAGAAAGCUGUCUAAUUUCUGUUCUUAUUUCCAGCAAAUCCAGAAAUUGCUAGAAGAACUAGCAGGGAGGAGAAAGGCAGGCUAGACGUUUGGGACUGGAUGGGUGGCGUGACUUCAAAAGGUGAAGUGGAACUGCAGAGCAAAGCAGUGGUGAGAGCUGCUGGCCGUGAGCAGGUGAGGAGGUGGAGCAGGAACGGGGAGGAAGGAGGCAGAUGGUUGUGGAGCGUGGAAAACAGAACCUCGUGCAGGGAAACACCUGCAGAGGGUAAAGUGCGAGGAAGAGCGUGUAGAGGGAAAGAGCAGAACAGAUGGGAUGAGGAGCAAAAGGAGACGGGGAAGUUGACUCCGUUAAUAAAAGAGAGUAAUUCUCACCAUGGGGACAGCUGAAGAGUCACAAACAUAAAUAUUUUCCUUGUGUGUUUUACAUAAGGGAAAUUGUCGUGCUUGUUCUAAGGACGUUACGUAACCCCAGACAAAAGCAAACAGUUCCUCAUAACCGCUUCAAGAAUGGGUUUUCUGAGGACUUCUCCAGUUCAGUUGUCACUCACUGGGUAAACUGUUGCAAACAGCUAAUUAAGGACCUAUCAUAUCACCCCGAUUGCUUCUACUUGUUGAACAGUGCCAUUGCUCACAAAAAGCUCAGAAGUCAGUGCUAGCAAUGGUAACGAAAAUUGUUUAUUGAGUGAGAGGCGUCCUGAAACUGUGGUUGAAGCUGAACAUGCCAAAUAUCACUAGAUUUGCUCUACAACAUCAACCAGUUUGAGUGCUUGGCAUCUUUUAGGGGCGUGCUCCAAGCAGGCAGAGCCCCCUGAAGUGUGGGAGGUUCAAUGUGCACAGGAGCGUGUAACUGCAUACCGUAUCACAAGCUGGAAUGCCCCGGUAUUGGCUGAACCCCCUGGAGAUAAAAUAUUUUAGGGUGUGCUGGUCGCUGCCGAGCUUUUCUUCAGUCUCAGCAGACGUGUUUGGCGGACUUUCCGUAGUACUGCUGAAGGUUCCUGUGCUCUCCAGUGCCGAGUUCCUCUCACAACAGAGCCUGCAAGCGUGGAAGCGGGGAGUUCACGCUGACAGCAGUCUGCGGUGACCACCACGUUACAUCCAGCUCGGUGGGUCCGGCUGCGUUAGAACAGCUCAACGCGAGGAAGGAUGCUGAGGUCAGGUUUACGAAUACAGAGCCAAAUUCAAUUCUUGCGCUGCAGGCUUCUGCAAGGUGGUGCCAGGAAUGAAUCUUUCCCUAUAGCUAGGUGCUCUGUUGGUGUCUCCGGCCGGUGCCAAGUUAACUGUUUCCAACAGCAAAUGUGCCAGCAGCACACGUGUACGUGAGGGGAAGAAAGUGAGCUACCCUUAGGUACGUGUACACAUGAUUCUGCACUGCUGACAGGCUCUUGUGAGCUUGGUCAAGUGUGCGACCAGUGCGGGACUCCAGUUUCUCAGGGAUUCCUGGCAGAAAACUGUAGCUCAGCAUAAGGAGGUCUGGAAAGCUGCUUCAUUUUAACAGCAACUUUUCCUGUUUCAAGUAAACGUUCUGCGGGCUGGCUGCUGGCCAAGGGCUAUUUCCCUGAGUAGGUAAAUAUUUUGGGCAAGGUGUGAUAGAGCAGACAGCAAAGACGAAUGUUAGCACUGAGCACUGCGGCAUCAUGUAGUAGCAUAAAUCCUCACCAUCGUGUGGAGUCUUACGGAUGCGGUGGCCUUUCUAGGACAGAAACACACAGAAACGGAAGGGGUCUUCCUGCAGAGAUUUGCAAGGAGAGGGGUAAAAACGGAGUUGAUAAUUUCACCACACCUUUAAAAACUAAUAUUGUUUGCAACACGUUUGGCACGACGGGAACCUUUCUGCGUUGGGGUGCAGCAGCUCGGCGUGUGUACCAGGCAGCCCUGGGGAAUGUGCAGCUGGGGACACUUUGGGCAGUGUGCAUUAAUUACAGCGUAUCACUAUUUAUCUCAUUUACAUGCCUUGAAAGGAAAUGGCUGCUUUUACUACAGUGCCCCAUUGUGCCAGGGCUGUGAACGCCCGUCUGAAGGCACGAUCUCUGACUCCUGAAGUUACCCUCAAAUGCGAGAUGAAAGGGGUGGUGGGGGGAACAGAAUCAGAGUGCACGAAAUCACAGCCCGUAUUAUCCAUCCGCAGUUGGCCUGCACAGCCCAUUUUGCAGGUCGGACAGAUUGAGCCCUAAGAGAUUAAAAUGUUAGGUAUCACUGUGCACAGCUCUCCUUCCAGAGACAGUUAGCUCAGCAUUUCUCACUGAAAGCCGGACACACACUGAGCCUGCGUACCGAGAUAAGCUGCUUUUAGCUGGGCAUUUAAAACACCUCCGUCAGACAGCAGUGGGUGUGCUGUAAGCAGCUCGCCUUCUUUAAGGGUUACGAAAUUUCAGCAUUGAUUUUUGAGGACAACCAGGAGAAUAAUCCUUAAAUGUGAAAUAUUUAUUUUACUCUGAUUAAAUUUACUUUUAGCCCGUGAUCAAUGAAGACAGUUAUCCUGGCAGUUAUUCUGUGUGCGUGAGCAGCAGGGGUGACUGUAAAAAACUGUAAGCUCGAUUUCAAAGAGCCGUGCCCUACUAGCGUGGGGAAGGGAAGAAAAUGUCUUUGUUUUGGAAAAGAGCUGGCUUGUGCACCUUGCCUUGUACUAUACGUUAUUGCCUCUUGGUACGUGUUUAAAAUGGAGCUUGGUGACUGUGGUAUCGACCUAAAAAAUUCAGCCACUGUCCUUGUCAUCACCUGGUCCGCACUGGUCAUGGGAGAGCAGGGAUGGGACGGGAUGCGCGUGGGCCUGCGUGGCCAGGGAGCGAUGCUGCCCGAAGCGGGACAAGCCUCCAGGACGGUGCCCAGCGCCCCGAGGAGCUGCGUGCGGAGCCACCGGUGCAAGGACCGCGAGAACAACGUGGGGAGACCUCUUCCCCCCAAAGAGAUGACGGCUGCUGCUGCUGCUGAGCCCGUGCAGGGCUGAUCCCCGGGCUGACAGGCGGCGUGUGCGUCUUUUUACAAACAAAUACAUUAAAUUCUGCUUUAAAGAUCUAGUAGAUAAUAGUUUGGGGAAGUUUGAUGCGUGUUUCUGGAAAUCCUGAAUAGAGGAGCUGAAAGCUCCUGGGCAGCCAGGCACUACAGCUCUGGCUCCCUCUGUUAAGCUGCUUUGGAAUCAUGUAAAACAUAAAAGAUGCUCCAGCCAGCGACCAGAUUUAUUUAAGGCUUCUGCAUCGUUAUUUGGCAGCAAACACCUGUUAGUGCCACGCAGCUGGCUUUAACACUUCUACGAGAGAGCUCUUUAAAGGCUUUGUUUCAAAAGCAAAAUCAACUACAUCCAACCAAACUGUUCUUCUGGAUGAGAAAGGUGUCUUCCUGCACAGGAAUCCUGCUGGGUUUGCCCUGGGUCUCUAAUGAUGCCUCACAUGUCCCAAGUGCUGCUGCACUCCUCAAGAUUCCCGUGACUGCUGAGACAGUUUAACAUAAGUAAAAUAGUUUAUCCUUUCAUUCGACAGUUUUUGUUGACUUUAGCUGGAGUUUUGACCACACAGGAGCUUGUGAGUACUAUAAAUAUCUCCCAUCAUUUCAGUUUUCUACAACACAUGCCAUCAGAAGCAAAACAAAGGCAGGUGUUAAGGAGCAUGCAGAAUGUGUCGGAGCAGAGCUUUAAACCAAAAGCAUCUGUCACAGCUCUGCCUCAGUCUUGUCAGCUAAAGACAGACUGGCUGGUCUUGUGUACUCAGUCUGUAGCUCUUCAUUUCGAUCAUUUAGGAUGUGAAAACUGCCUAAAAGAAUUGGUUCACAUGCUUCAUGGUUCCUUGUAAUGUAUCAAUAACUUUGUAUGCCCAAAUGGAAGAGAUCAACAGCUCAUUCUCUGAUUUUGUCUAUGCAGCAGAUCUCUGCCUAUCUGUCCCCACCAACGGGUACAGUGGCAGGGAAAAGCUCUCUCCAGGUGUUAAUGCCAGCAGCAGGUUCUGGAGGAUCUCGGCACAGAAACAUCUUCCAAGGCUGGCUGCUCACUGGAUUUCAAGGUUUACGCGAAUUUGCCAGGUUAAAAAAUCCUGACAGGUUUCUUCUACAUCAAGACCAUGCAAGUACAAAUUUCUGACAAAUGUGAAAACAAUGAAUCAGCUUUGGUUUUGUUUCUAGGCAGUUUCUCUUCCAGGUUCUCAUGCUUUCUUCCCCUCCAAAUACUGCAAGAGAAGUUUUCUUAACUAAAACGUUUCAAAUUGUACAAAGCAACACAUGAUUACAGGCUAAGGACGUUGGUAACCAGCUAGCUGUGAAACAAAAGGUCGCAUCUGAACUCUGCAAGCAGAAUCCCAGCCUGAUGUGUUUUCCCUGCUGACCUGCAUGAGCUUAGGCAUCCCAGACAUCUCCUUUCUGACCAGGGACAUCUCUGCUCUGUUCUAACCUUUCACGCUAU